CUUUAAUUUACAAAUAAUUUGUCUCGCUUCAUCCUCUCAUUUAGUUCGAAUAUAUAAUCUGUAAAUAUAUAUUCGUACAUUUCCGUUCAUUUUCAAUCAGUUUCAUUUAGGUUCAAUCAGUUUGUCAUAUUGUUGGUUCGUCAAAUUGUUGGGUUUGUUCGUCAAAUUGUUGGUGGUGGUUAUCUCCAGCCCUCAUACACAGUUAAUCAAGCAUGGCUUGCAACGAACCUUCUUAUUGGACACUAAGAAGAAAAGCUAAAGAUAAGGUUGCAAAACAACUGCAGUCACUAGAGGCAACAGCAUGGGGAGAUGAGCCUGGUAACAUGCUUAGUGACACAAAUAAUACCC